GGGCAGGUGGCGGAAUCGGAAUACGCGCAGCGCUUAGAACGCUGUCCCCAAAAGGGUUGUGGGUUCGAGUCCCACCCUGCCCA
rnacentral:tRNA from 1 species